UACGGAGGGGGUUAGCGUUGUUCGGAAUUACUGGGCGUAAAGCGCGCGUAGGCGGGCUGUUAAGUCGGGGGUGAAAUCCCGGGGCUCAACCCCGGAACUGCCUUCGAUACUGGCAGCCUUGAGGUCGAGAGAGGUGAGUGGAACUCCGAGUGUAGAGGUGAAAUUCGUAGAUAUUCGGAAGAGCACCAGUGGCGAAGGCGGCUCACUGGCUCGAUACUGACGCUGAGGUGCGAAAGUGUGGGGAGCAAACACG
rnacentral:rRNA from 1 species